AUGGUGCAUGUAUCUUUGCUGAAGAAAGCGGUGGGAGCGACCGUUCCAGUCAGUGCAGAAUUACCUCCACCUGACUCCGUUUUGCAGGCACCUCACUCUCCCAGCCAAGUGUUGGAUUGCAAGAUGGUUCGUUCUCAAGGAGAGAUGCAGCUACGCGCCCUGAUGGUUCUUUCUUUUGAGAUGUCGUUCGCUCCCAUCCCUCUCCUCAAGUUUUGCAACAGCAGGAAGAAAGUAGGACCCCUCAAGGAGUCCAUCUAUAUCAGAAUUGCGAACACGCAUAUGAUGAUCAAUGCAUGGGUGCAGACGGUGAUCAUCGCGUGGGCCCUUAGUGUGGCACUCAUCAUCGUCAACACCUACUUCCUGGUAUGGACCUACAUAGACUGGCUGGCACAUAACCACCUCCCAAGGUACACCAACGCGCCGGUCUUUGUGGUCGUCUUUGCGCUCAUGGCUGCCUACCUCGUCGCCGUUGUGUACCUGAUGUUUAGGAAAGACAUGGUGGUGACGUAUGUACCAGUGGCAGAGAGGGUGCAGGGCCAGGCGGAGGCUGGUAGGGCACCGGUGUUGGCGUCCGGUGCAGACGGAGACCAGCCGAUGCCGUAUAGGAAAGACCUAGCCGAUGCCUCAACCACUGGCGGAGCUAUGUGCAACCCUACAGGUGCCAUGCCUCCCCAUCCUUUCCAAAUUUACUGA
rnacentral:rRNA from 1 species